UACGUAGGGGGCAAGCGUUGUCCGGAAUCAUUGGGCGUAAAGAGCGUGUAGGCGGCCUUAUAAGUCGGCUGUGAAAGUCAAGGGCUCAACCCUUGAAUGCCGGCCGAUACUGUGAGGCUAGAGUCCGGAAGAGGCGAGUGGAAUUCCUGGUGUAGCGGUGAAAUGCGCAGAUAUCAGGAGGAACACCGAUGGCGAAGGCAGCUCGCUGGGACGGUACUGACGCUGAGGCGCGAAAGCGUGGGGAGCGAACAGG
rnacentral:rRNA from 1 species